CGAGCCAUCAGAUAAGAAGUACGAUCUAAAUUUUCAAUUGUCCAUUAAUGGCAGGUUCAAAUUCUUGUCGUAGGUUAUUCAGUUUUGCAAGGUCAAAGUUCCUUUAAACAACAUGGAGUUACUGGUCUGAUGUAUAUAAUUUUGGAGUUAUACUGUGGGAGCCUGCCACGCAAAAGAUCCCUUGGGAUACCUCUUCAACUCAACCUUAUGUUUCUUUAUGAUCAAUUCUCAAUCUUUACCGAGUAAAUUUGAAGCUUACACAUGAAUUUGUUUCCGUCAGUAGUCUGUUAAAACAAUGAGGAUAUGGUUUGAAUGGUGGUUAAAGAUAUAGUUAUCUGAAUUAUCAGUAAAAAAAAAACUCGCAUCAACAUUAACCAACGUCACAACUUUUUCCGCAUUAUAUAUCUGCCGGAAAUAAGUGCCAUGUUGUCUAAUAAAUUAACAGGAUGUUUAUCGUUUUAGUGAUGGGUUAUGCAAGUGAUGCGAGCUGUAGGAUUCAUGAACCAAUAACUUGAGAUUCCAGAAGAUACGGAGCCGCAGUAGGCAUCUCAAACUGAAAGCUGUUGGCAGAGUGAGUCGCUAUGCCGAUCAACAUCCAAAGGAAAGUUGAAAGUUCUAUGGAAACUCUAUGCCAUCUGAAGGCCCAAUGCAAAUACCUGCUUAACUGAGGGUUGUAGAUAAUAACACAAUAUCAUCAGCGCAAAUUCAAAUGUCAACACAUGCACUAAAAGAAGAAGAUAAAAGAUUAGCAGCUGAAGUUAAGGUGGAUGGAUUCAUCAUUCAUAUCAUCUGCUGGUGCUUGGUGGUGAAGUUCUACGAAAGAGGAUUCAAGAACUUGAAGCUGGGCAAGCCAGGCUUAAACAAGAACUGUGUAAAUUAACCCUUGAUGAAGCAAGGCCUGAU